rnacentral:rRNA from 1 species
GACGAACGCUGGCGGCGUGCUUAACACAUGCAGGUCGAACGGUAAGGCCCUUCGGGGUACACGAGUGGCGAACGGGUGAGUAACACGUGGGUGAUCUGCCCUGCACUUCGGGAUAAGCCUGGGAAACUGGGUCUAAUACCGGACAGGACCUCUGCCUGCAUGGGUGGUGGUGGAAAGCUUUUGCGGUGUGGGAUGGGCCCGCGGCCUAUCAGCUUGUUGGUGGGGUGAUGGCCUACCAAGGCGACGACGGGUAGCCGGCCUGAGAGGGUGACCGGCCACACUGGGACUGAGAUACGGCCCAGACUCCUACGGGAGGCAGCAGUGGGGAAUAUUGCACAAUGGGCGCAAGCCUGAUGCAGCGACGCCGCGUGAGGGAUGACGGCCUUCGGGUUGUAAACCUCUUUCAGCACCGACGAAGCGCAAGUGACGGUAGGUGCAGAAGAAGGACCGGCCAACUACGUGCCAGCCGCCGCGGUAA